rnacentral:rRNA from 1 species
UACGUAGGGGCCUAGCGUUGUCCGGAAUUAUUGGGCGUAAAGAGCUCGUAGGUGGCGGGUCACGUCGGGUGUGAAAGCCCGGGGCUUAACUCCGGGUCUGCAUUCGAUACGGGUCUGCUGGGGUCCGGCAGGGGAGACUGGAAUUCCUGGUGUAGCGGUGAAAUGCGCAGAUAUCAGGAGGAACACCGGUGGCGAAGGCGGGUCUCUGGGCCGAUAUUGACGCUGAGGAGCGAAAGCGUGGGGAGCAAACAGG